rnacentral:rRNA from 1 species
GUGGGGAAUCUUGCGCAAUGGGGGCAACCCUGACGCAGCGACGCCGCGUGCGGGACGAAGGCCUUCGGGUCGUAAACCGCUUUCAGCAGGGACGAGGCCGCGAGGUGACGGUACCUGCAGAAGAAGCCCCGGCUAACUACGUGCCAGCAGCCGCGGUAAUACGUAGGGGGCGAGCGUUAUCCGGAUUCAUUGGGCGUAAAGCGCUCGUAGGCUGCCCGCUAGGUCCGGGGUCAAAUCCGGGGGCUCAACCCCCGCACGCCCCGGAUACCGGCGGGCUUGAGUCGGGUAGGGGAAGGCGGAAUUCCAGGUGUAGCGGUGGAAUGCGCAGAUAUCUGGAAGAACACCGGUGGCGAAGGCGGCCUUCUGGGCCUCGACUGACGCUGAGGAGCGAAAGCUGGGGGAGCGAACAGGAUUAGAAACCCUAGUAGUCC